UGUGGGUUUAUUAAAGUAUUAUUAUAUUCUUCAUCUUUGUCAUCCUGCCUGAUCUCUAGCACACCAUACCGUGGCAGAAUUACCAACCCUGAAAAAAGUAUAAAAUAGCGAUGCCCUUCUCUCCGUUUUGUUUCCAUUUUUUUUCCAGUUUUUAUUUUUCAGUCAUGGAUUAUUUAAAAGAUCUCCUUCCCGUCCUUCAACUCAGCCACCAUCCAGAUGUCCACUCGGCGAUCUUUGUAGAGAUCGCCAAUCAUUCCAGCAACCUGGACAGCAGCCUCUGUGGAUUCUACCUGUCAAGCCUCAACGAGGAGUGCAGAGCGCAGCUGUCUAGAGGUGGACCUCGGGAAUCAUUCGCCGCCUUUGUGGAGUGGGUGCUGGUGAGCAACAAAUCACAUAUGGACCUGCCAAGGAGCAUCUCACCAGUCCCACUCCAGACCUAGAGCCCACCACGGCCGACGAGCCAUCGCCGAAGAGAGCGACCGAGCUGAGGAUCGCCUUGGAGCUUGAACUGGACCUGUCUGACCAGGUGCGUGAGCCGGCAAAUGAGCGUGCGCAGGUAGCAGAUGCAAGGGAGCACGAGGGCUUGGAAGAGAACCAAUCCCACUGCACCACCGCUGAGGGUGAACAGCUGCUGAACUCUGGGGAAUCUAUGGACUUAAACAUGGAUUUAUAUGUGGACACCCACAAAUCCCCACCCACCCGUCCUCUCCAGCCUCAUAUUGUCACUGAUGCAUCAGCCCUGCCAUCAUCUGCCACUUUGCCGCUGCUUCCUGUCUGCCCUGUUGCUCACCCUCAGCCCACCAUCUGUGCGGUGGGAUCGCCGUGGGUCUGCCAGUCUCCAUCGGCAUCAUGGCUGGUGGAUCCCUCUUCUCCUCCUCCAGCCUCUGAGUCCCUGACUCCACCUCGGCCCUUCGACCACAGUGGCUCCACCAUGGCCCAUCAGUCCACCAGCUCCACCGGGCUCAAUCGUCCCUCCUGCUUCGCCUUGGUCAGUCGUUGACCGUCC
ensembl:lncRNA